rnacentral:rRNA from 1 species
AGGAUGAACGCUGGCGGCGCGCUUAAUACAUGCAAGUCGAGCGACGAAACGAGAACCCGUAAGGGUUUUCGCUGAAAGCGGCGAACGGGUGAGUAACACGUGGGUAACGUGCCCUUGUCUCUGGGAUAACAACGGGAAACCGUUGCUAAUACCGGAUAAUGCAUCUCUUCCGCAUGGUUGAGCUGCCAAAGUUUUUCGGACAAGGAUCGGCCCGCGGCGUAUCAGCUUGUUGGUGGGGUAACGGCCUACCAAGGCAGUGACGCGUAGCUGGCGUGAGAGCGUGGCCAGCCACACUGGGACUGAGACACGGCCCAGACUCCUACGGGAGCAGCAGUAGGGAAUCUUGCGCAAUGGGCGGAAGCCUGACGCAGCGACGCCGCGUGAGGGAUGAAUGCCUUGGUGUAAACCUCUUCAGCAGGACGAAGCGAAGUGACGUACUGCAGAAGAACGCCCCCGGACUAACGUACGUGCCAGCACGCCGC